rnacentral:rRNA from 1 species
AGAGUUUGAUCAUGUCUCAGGACGAACGCUGGCGGCGCGCCUAACACAUGCAAGUCGAACGAGCGAGAGAGAGCUUGCUUUCUCGAGCGAGUGGCGAACGGGUGAGUAACGCGUGAGGAACCUGCCUCAAAGAGGGGGACAACAGUUGGAAACGACUGCUAAUACCGCAUAAGCCCACGGCUCGGCAUCGAGCAGAGGGAAAAGGAGCAAUCCGCUUUUAGAUGC